GAUGGGUGGCAAAUAGGGGCGAGGGUCUCGUUCGUUAUCUCACUUAAGAGAACGCCUCACGGUACGAACUGACGGCGGCCAUGCACCACCUCUCGGAAAAUCAGGCAAGGUCAUCAGCCUGGCCUUCAUGUAACCGUCGCUCCUGGUGAGUUUUCCGGCGUUGAAUCCAAUUAAACCGCACGCUCCUCCUGUUGCUGUGCUCUCCCGCCAAUUCCUUUAAGUUUCAGUCUUGCGACCGUACUCCCCAAGCAGCAGGCUUAACACCUUCGCUACGGCACUGAAACCCCUCGAAGGAG
rnacentral:rRNA from 1 species